rnacentral:rRNA from 1 species
UACGUAGGGGGCGAGCGUUGUCCGGAUUUAUUGGGCGUAAAGAGCGUGUAGGCGGCCAGGUAGGUCUGCUGUGAAAACUCGAGGCUCAACCUCGAGACGUCGGCGGAAACCAUCUGGCUAGAGUCCGGAAGAGGAGAGUGGAAUUCCCGGUGUAGCGGUGAAAUGCGCAGAUAUCGGGAAGAACACCUAUGGCGAAGGCAGCUCUCUGGGACGGUACUGACGCUGAGACGCGAAAGCGUGGGGAGCGAACAGG